GUGAAUCUCAUCCUUACUUGUUUCUACAUUGUGGGGUAGCUUGGGCAAUUUAAAGUUGUCCUUUUAGCAUCUUUGAGGAUCAUUUGGCGUGUCUAGAAUCUUUAGGUACUUUUGUUGGUUGGAAGUGGAAAGAUUUUGGUGGUAAGACAGAUGCCAAUGUUCUUUGGAAUUGUGCUUUUUUUGUUUUGUUAUGGAGCCUUUGGACGAAGAGAAAUGUAUAUAUUUUUGACAAUUUUUGAAUAUUGACAAUCAAGUAUGUUGUUCGGUUUGCUG
rnacentral:misc_RNA from 1 species